GAGAUUGGGUAGUGCUCGAAAGAGAACCUGCACACAGGUGCUGCAUGGCUGUCGUCAGCUCGUGUCGUGAGAUGUUGGGUUAAAGUCCCGCAACGAGCGCAACCCUUGCCAUUAGUUGCUACGAAAGGGCACUCUAAUGGGACUGCCGGUGACAAACCGGAGGAAGGUGGGGGAUGACGUCAAGUCCUCAUGGCCCUUAUAGGUGGGGCUACACACGUCAUACAAUGGCCGGUACAGAGGGUAGCCAACCCGCGAGGGGGGAGCCAAUCCCACAAAGCCGGUCGUAGUCCGGAUCGCAGUCUGCAACUCGACUGCGUGAAGUCGGAAUCGCUAGUAAUCGCGGAUCAGCAUGUCGCGGUGAAUACGUUCCCGGGUCUU
rnacentral:rRNA from 1 species